rnacentral:rRNA from 1 species
AUGUUGAUUGAGUUACCAAUCCUGGAGAUAUGCGCAGAAAAUAGUGUGGGAGAGACUCAUACGUUUAACUGUUUGAAAGAACUUGAGAUGUCCGACUGCCCAAGAUCAAGAGUACACCUGUCUUCGGAGAUUUUGUGCUUACGGAAGAUGAAUAAUAGCCUGACCACAUUAUGUAAUAACCUUGAUGUGGAAGUUGGAGGAUGCAUUACCCCUAUGCAAAUUUUACAAGAAAUUUGUUGCUUUCUUUGUGGAAGACCUAGAAGCAAGCACUGCGAAAUUCUGCUUGUACACUUCAAAUACCUAUUUAGGCUUUACAAAAUACCUUCCUUUUGA